GACGAACGCUGGCGGCGUGGAUUAGGCAUGCAAGUCGAACGGUAUCAUCCUUUCGGGGGUGAGAGAGUGGCGAACUGGUGAGUAACACGUAGGUUAUCUACCCUCAAGACGGGGACAACCCAGGGAAACUUGGGCUAAUACCGGAUGUGAGCAACUUUUAGUUGUUUGAAAGGUGGCGUAAGCUGUCGCUUGGGGAUGAGCCUGCGUCCUAUUAGUUAGUUGGUGAGGUAACGGCUCACCUAGGCAAUGAUAGGUAGGCGGCCUUAACGGGGUGGUCGCCCACACUGGGAUUGAGAUACGGCCCAGACUCCUACGGGAGGCAGCAGUCGAGAAUAGUCUACAAUGGUCGGAAGACUGAUAGUGCGACGCCGCGUGAACGAUGAAUCCCUUCGGGGUGUAAAGUUCUUUUAUAUGUGAGCAGUGCUUCUUAUAUUAACAGUAUGGGGAGAGAGAUAUUAGCAUAUGAAUAAGCAACGGCUAACUCCGUGCCAGCAGCCGCGGUAA
rnacentral:rRNA from 1 species